rnacentral:rRNA from 1 species
UACGGGGGGAGCAAGCGUUGUUCGGAUUUACUGGGCGUAAAGGGCGCGUAGGCGGCCAGCACAAGUCAGUUGUGAAAUCUCCGAGCUUAACUCGGAAAGGUCAACUGAUACUGUGCGGCUAGAGUGCGGAAGGGGCAACUGGAAUUCCCGGUGUAGCGGUGAAAUGCGCAGAUAUCGGGAGGAACACCAAUGGCGAAGGCAGCUCGCUGGGACGUGACUGACGCUGAGACACGAAAGCCAGGGGAGCGAACGGG